rnacentral:rRNA from 1 species
GACGAACGCUGGCGGCGUGCCUAAUACAUGCAAGUUGAGCGCUGAAGGUUGGUACUUGUACCGACUGGAUGAGCAGCGAACGGGUGAGUAACGCGUGGGGAAUCUGCCUUUGAGCGGGGGACAACAUUUGGAAACGAAUGCUAAUACCGCAUAAAAACUUUAAACACAAGUUUUAAGUUUGAAAGAUGCAAUUGCAUCACUCAAAGAUGAUCCCGCGUUGUAUUAGCUAGUUGGUGAGGUAAAGGCUCACCAAGGCGAUGAUACAUAGCCGACCUGAGAGGGUGAUCGGCCACAUUGGGACUGAGACACGGCCCAAACUCCUACGGGAGGCAGCAGUAGGGAAUCUUCGGCAAUGGACGAAAGUCUGACCGAGCAACGCCGCGUGAGUGAAGAAGGUUUUCGGAUCGUAAAACUCUGUUGGUAGAGAAGAACGUUGGUGAGAGUGGAAAGCUCAUCAAGUGACGGUAACUACCCAGAAAGGGACGG